GCCCAGGGCCACACUGUGACUCAAACCCAGCUAGUCUGGCUCCGAAAUCCAUGCUCUUAACUACUAUAGUGAGGGCACAUUUAUAUGAAUACCCCAAGAUAUAGCCCCUACAUGUCGAAUUAUAGGAGUUUCUCCCCCUCACCCAGAGGUGCCUGGGUCAUUUCCAGGAGUCCCCAUGGAGUACCUACCUCCGCCUACAAACUAGUGCAUGUGGUAUGAGCACCUGUCAUACACUGUGGCUUCCCUCUUGGUGACAUCUUAGCUCUUGACACUAUUUAGGCAGACUUGCUCCUGCCUCUGCCAACUAUACUAAUUGUUAGAACACCAAUGUCUGUGCCAGUGUCUGCUUUCUCACAAUGCGCUCUGGUCCUCGGGCUCAGCAUCCCUGUGUGUACCAAUGUAUGUGCCAAGGGGGCUUCCUCACAAUGCACCCUGGUCCCUCUGGCUCAGCAUCCCCGUGUGUCACUGGGUCCUGAGAGCUGUGGAGAAUGGUCCCACUUCUGUGCCACAGUUUGUCAUUAUGAGUCCCCAAGAAACACUACUUUUGGCCAGAGUCUUCUAUCUCUCAACAACAAGAUGUCUCUCUCAGCUUCUGGCCCUCAUAUUCUUGGUUAUAGGGUUUCAGAGAAGUCCAACAGUUAGAUUUGGGUCAAAUUAAUACAAUAUCCUGUCCCUCCCUGUCACCUUUACAUCUCUCUCAAUGGUCUCUGUCACCCGGACAAGCAAAAUAAAUAAAACUCUCUUUUCCCCCAGUCACAAAGCACAGAGCCUCCGUGCACCAGUUGAAGAGAUACUCUGCAGAGAUGCCACCUAGCUUCUCCCCAGGCCCUGCCUAGCCACAAAGGACCUGUGAUACCUGUGAACAGAAGCAGAAAGGCUGUUGGUCAGGAGUGCAGGGGAAAGGGGUGCUGGACCAAGUUGGAGGCUGGAAAAAAAUGGACUGAAGACUUUGGAGCUCCAAAGCUGGUUACUUUUAAAAAUAUUUAAGUAGGUUUUUUGAACCACUCUGUUCAGGUCACGCUUCCGUGCUUGGUUCAGCCUUCCUCCCAGAUGUGGGUGCUUUGUGAUAAAGACUGGGGCUGGAGAGUGGGAGAAAUCCUCUGCUGAGAACAGUGACAGGUGCGGAAAGCAGGUCUGUCCCCUAUCCGAGCUCAGCGAUUCCCUUCAAAGGGAAAGAUGUAGGGUGAAGUGGUGAGGAAUGGGUGUCAAUGUGGGCAGGAGAGGGAAAGGCCAGUAUAUCCACUCAUGUUUUUCAUCAUAUUCACCAGCAUUUGACAAGUCCUGAUGGAAUCAAUUAUGUGCCACACCUUGUUUACAGUCAGGUCCCGAAGUUUACAGUGGUGAAUGAGACAGACAUGAUUCCUGCUCUCCUGAAGCAGUGAGGGAGAUCAGAAAACAGAUGAAAGAUUUCUAAAAAUCAUUAAAAUUUAUGGUAAGUGCUAGUAGGAACUAAAGAGUGGGCUAUUACAGAGAAUAAUCGAGAAUGGGGGAUGGGACGGGACAUCUAUUUCAAAUGGAAUUAUCAGAUAAAGGCCUCUCGGAGAAUGUAAAGGAUAGGACUUGAAGGAUAAAGAAGCCCAGGGAGAAUUCUGGGCAGAGGAAAUGGAUUGCGUGACGGCUCUAAAGCUGAAGUUGGCUCAGGCUAAAAGAAGCUAAGCUACUCUUGGGGGCCCUCCAGGCUUCCUGCCUGGACUGCUUUCUCCAGAAAGUGUCCGUCUGCCCUAGGCCCAGUGCUUCCCUUUGUUUCAUCCAAACAUGCUCCUGGUAAGAGCAUGAGAGCCAGCUUUGCCAGGAUCCACAAUUCACUUGGGAUCUCAGGUUCAGCUAUAGCUCUGAGGCAGAGUAGCAGACAUUCAUCAAGAAAGGAAUAGGCUUUGGGACUUGGGGUCCCUUCUCUUUUAUUUUAAGGAGAGCAAACCUGGGUGAAUCUUACUCUUACAAACUAUUUAGGUUCAAAUCCUGGCUCUGCCACCUGGAAGCUAUAACUUUAGUCUGUUACUUAACUGCUUUGUGUCUCAGUAUCCUCAUCUGUAAAAUGGGUCAAAAGGCAGCAUCUGCCUCACAGGAUUGUUAUGAGAAUUUAAUAAGUUAAUGUUAGCUAAGUGUUUAGAUCAGUACCUGGCACUUAAACGUUCAACAAUAGUGUUGCUGUUAUUAAUACUAUUAUCAUACUUAAGCUUUUACACCCCACUGAUGCCUUGUACGGCAGAGGAGGUGGUAUUAUGCAUUCCCCUGGUCCUGGGCUUCCUAGAAUCAAGGUAUAGACUUAAUUAUAUAACUCAAUUCAGAAAUCAUUUUUAUACCAGGCACUGUGUUGGACACUUUACUAUACCAUUUCCUUUGAUCCUGCUAAUAAUCUUAAGAAGCAUGUAUUAUUAUCCCCGUUUUAUAGAUGCAGAAACUCAGGUUUAAAGAGAUUAGCUAAUUUACCCAACACCGUGAAGCUAAUAUGAUUCCUAGGUCUGAGAUUCUGACUCAGCAGGCCUGGCUAAGGCCUCAGAGUCUGCAUUACAAGUACCUCUCCGAACCUUCCCAGUUCUUUUUUUUUUUUUUGAUAAAUUUAUUUAUUUUAUUUAUUUA